rnacentral:rRNA from 1 species
GUGACCCUACGGACGCAGCAGUGGGGGAUAUUGCACAAUGGGGGGAACCCUGAUGCAGCGACGCCGCGUGGGCGAUGGAGUGCUUCGGCAUGUAAAGCCCUAUCAGCAGGGAAGAAAAUGACGGUACCUGACUAAGAAGCCCCGGCUAAAUACGUGCCAGCAGCCGCGGUAAUACGUAUGGGGCAAGCGUUAUCCGGAUUUACUGGGUGUAAAGGGAGCGUAGGCGGCCUGGCAAGCCUGAUGUGAAAUACCGGGGCCCAACCCCGGGGCUGCAUUGGGAACUGCCAGGCUGGAGUGCCGGAGAG